GGGGGGGGGGGGGCGGCGGCAACUGCCAAUGGGCCGCCGCCGCUUUCUCUGGAUACGCGAGUGCAGGAGGGUGGGGGAGGUGGCAACCUGGGCACAAACAAAAUGCCGACCGGAAGUGCAGCUGCAGGAAUGACUCCCUCCACCGGAGCCAAACACCAACAGCCUCCGUUGACUCUUACUCGCUCAACCAGCGUCGCUUCCGCCGCCACCGCGUUGCUCUACGCUGUUUCUCUCCCAGCUCCUCUGCAUCCAUUCCCUCCGUCUUUCCUCGUCAGGCAGCGGCGGACACAACCGAGUCUUCACCGUGUAGCUGUCUCUUCCCCUCCCCGUCAGCUGCUGCCUGAGUUUCUCUUUCUCUCCCCUUCUGAUGUGCGGAACAAGACCGGAGUUUAUGCUUAGGCCUGCGCUAAGAGGAAGGCAGCCAGUGAUUUGAGAUGAAGUGACCGUUAAAAGAAACACACGUUUUAGGUCUUAUUUUUGCCUUCCUUAGGGAUGGUGGGGAGGAAUGCAAAAUGCCACCUCGCAGGAGGCAGACUUAAAAAGGCGUCUUAAAAUGAACCCACAAAGGUGGCAGUCCUGUCUGUCUGUCCGUCCACCCCUGCCCCAGCGGAUGAGAUGUGUCAGACCUGGGACACUUGCAGGAGUUACUGUUCUCAUGUCCGUCUCUGUGGGUGUAAAUAGUCGGCGUCGCAGGAACUGAAACACCCAAUGCUGAGACCAUUGCCGGGGCGAGGGAUUUUCAGGUGGACGUACCGAACUGGAGUGGCUUUUGAAAACUUUUUUGGACAAACACGGGGAAAAAUGCAGAUGGAGGGCCCUUUGCUGGAGGCUGAUGGUCCCCACCACCACCAGAUUUACUGGAAAUAUUUUAAUUAUAGGUUGUAAAGGAGUGUUUGGUGAAAGAGAAUGUCUUAGUCUGAAAGGUUUUCUGGUUUUCCUCUGUACAGGUAAAACUGUGAAUAAUCAUAGAACGAGAUAAUAGCAUUUAUAUCUGAUGAACUAUGUCUUUUCCUACUAAUGUCAUUUUGUUUCUCAGUACUUGGACAAAAAUCCUUUGAUUUUUAGAAGAAGCCUUCCUUGUCUGUGGACUUCAAGAUUCAGCCAUACAAUUGGACACAGUCAGCUUUAAAUACCCUGUGAUAUAUAAACACAUCCUUUCAGCUCUGGAUGAAUAUUAUUUGCACAAAAGGAUACUGUCUUACACCAACGCACCUGAAUCUUUCCUGAAUAAUGCUCUGUCUUUAAUACAGAUUUAAAAUGUCUCUCUCAAUCUUAAAGAACUAUUAAAUUUGUAAUGUUGGAUGAAUCAAAGUUUAUUUUACAAGUGUAUGUCGUUUUGUUUGAAAGGACAGAAAUGAAGAUGGCACUGGAGAAUACAGUAAUUCAGUACUGAAAAUACUAAUAUCUAAUGGGUACAUGCUCAUGUAAGUUUAAUGGAAACAGAAUAUACUGGGCUCUGAAAAAAAAAUGAAUUCUAUAACUUUGUUCCAAGUUAAUAUAAAAGGUCCCAAUCCUAUAAUUGUUUAUUAAUUCGCAACUUCAAGUUAUCCAUUUGAAAUAAAGGUAAAUAAUUGGUGUAGUAAAUGAAAUAUGUUCAUAAGUCUUUGUGCUUAAUUUAAUACAGUGCAGCUCUGUAAGUCAAGGGGGAAAAUAUUUAUCCUCUUAUUUUGGUUACAAACUAAAGUUUAAUAAACUACCAAGAGUUCACAUACACAUAUGUAUGUGGACAUAUACAUCUAUGAAUUCCAAGGAAAAUGUGAUUCUAAAAUGACAAAGUUGGAGGCCCAGGAAUACUUCAAUCUACUUCUAACUGAUUGUUACCAAUUCAUGUUGAUAGAGUCUUUAUGUGAUUUCAGUAACUUUAUAUCACUUUUUUUUUCUUAAUUGUUGAUUUAAUGUGUUAAUAAAAUGUAAAUACCGAAA